ensembl:lncRNA
UUUAAAAGCAGUUUUCUUUAUUUGCUUUGUUUUGUUCAAAAUGAUAUCUGGUGCUCUUUUCUUCAUCUACAUUUCCUGGGCAAAGUCAGAAUACUGAAUAUCUUGAAAGAAAGAAAGGGAUGCCAGCAGACAGAUUGCCAAUCUUCUCCGUGUCUUUCAGACAUGUACUGUUUUCUUCUAGGCCCACCAAAGAAGAUUCCUUUUGAAGAUGAUCAAGGAGACAAAGGGAGAGAGAGCUUAAAUUUAGAUGUGGAAUACAGCAACUGAAGUACUCUCUUGGUCAGAUAUAGGAGUUGUCAUAAUUCAAUCCGGUAUCUCUGGCGCGUGGCCCUCAUUUGUACACACGGGGAAGGACUCCACAUCACCAACUUCACAAGUUCCAGAUUUUUCGGUGGAUCAGAAUCUGACACCAAAUCCUGAUGUAACAUGGAACAGUGUAAUGGCCACCAAAACUGUGAAGAGCAGGUGGCUGGACCAGGAGGUAAAGAGGAUGCAGGACUGUAAUCUCUGGGAGAUGGUACUUGUAAAGUCUGAAAGGAGGAAGUGGAAGAAGGAGAGACAGAAGAAAAGAAAGAAGAGAGAACAGAAUCUCUUUCUCGUGGCACCUGUAUUUGUCGACACUGAGGAGAAUACAUAUUCUGAUUGUGACUUGAUUGGGAUGAUAUGGUAUUUUUAGAAGGCUGGGUUUAUUGCUAGGGUCUCAAAUGGUUUAAUGUUGAAAACUCCCCUCUCUUUGGCCUUUUGGGUUAAAUACAUAAUCUCCAAAACUGCCCUACAGUCCUCAUAUGUUUUGCUUUCUCUCUCCUUAUCUUCUUUUUGGUAAUAUUUUAUUUAUUUAUUUGGCUGUGCCAGAUUUUAGCACCAGAGAUCGAACCCAGGCCCCCUGCAUUGGGAGUGCUGAAUCUCAGCCACUGGGUAACCAGGAAAGUCCCUCCUUAUUAUAUCUUCCUCUCUCCUUGUUCUGAUAGAGAAUGUUGGGUUCAAUGAUUUGGGCUGUUUGCAUAGAAGUGGACAAUGGCAGGAAGAAGAAAUAGCCAUAAGAGAAUAAAAUCAAAAUGUUGAUUUGAAAAUCCCCUUGGAGUAACUAUUAGAGGCAUGCGCAAGUUAAAAUCAUGGGCAUCAUCCUGUUCCAGUGUGUGUGUGUCUCUUGAAAAUAUCACAUAUAGCUGGAUGCUGUCCUUGGGGCAGUCCUUGUGGAGAUUCUUGCCAGGGUGAUUACAGUUGACCCUUGAACAUGGGGGUUAGGGGUGCUGAUCCCUGCACCAUCGAAAAUCCCUGUAUAGCUUUUUACUCCCCCCAAAUGUAACUAAUAAUAGCCUACAGUUGACUGGUGGCCUUACUGAUAACAUAAAUAGUUGAGUGACAUGUUUUGUGUUUAUGUAUUAUAUACUGUAUUCUUACAGUAAAAUAAGCUAGAAAAAGGAAAAUGUAAUUAAGAAAAUCAUAAGAAAGAAAAUACAUUUAUAGUAUAUAUUCUAUAUAUCUAUGUGUAUCUAUCUAAUCCACAUAUAUAUGGACCCACACAGUUCA